GAAGCUGGAAUUGCUAGUAAUGGCAGGUCAGCAUACUGCCGUGAAUACGUUCCCGGGCCUUGUACACACCGCCCGUCACACCAUGAGAGUUGGGGAUACCCGAAGCCUGUGAGCUAACUAUUUAUAGGAGCAGCAGUCGAAGGUAGAAUCAAUGAUUGGGGUGAAGUCGUAACAAGGUAGC
rnacentral:rRNA from 1 species